GGGGCUGCGGCGGCAGUAGCAGUGGGAGAGGGACCGGCUUCAUCUUCAGACUCUUCGCCCAAGAAGCUGAGGUCGAGCUCGGGAAAUUUCUUGACCACCUUCUCUUGACAGAGCUCGAAUCUUUUGAUGAAUGCUUCUUGACCGAACUUGAUGUUCAGAUCCCUCAUCUCCGCAGAGGCCUUGAACUCCUCCACUGCUAGAGCCCUGGCCUCCGAGACCAGGACUG
rnacentral:lncRNA from 1 species